rnacentral:rRNA from 1 species
AUACGGAGGGUGCGAGCGUUAAUCGGAAUUACUGGGCAUAAAGCGUACGUAGGCGGUUGGUUAAGUUAGAUGUGAAAGCCCCGGGCUUAACCUGGGAACUGCAUUUAAAACUGGCGAACUAGAGUUGAGUAGAGGGGAGUGGAAUUUCAGGUGUAGCGGUGAAAUGCGUAGAGAUCUGAAGGAACACCAGUGGCGAAGGCGACUCCCUGGACUCGAACUGACGCUGAGGUACGAAAGCGUGGGUAGCAAACGGGAUUAGAAACCCUGGUAGUCC